rnacentral:snoRNA from 1 species
AAACAACACUUUGGCAGGACAUCGAAGUUGUCUGACACAAUUUGAGCGUGCUAUGGCAAGAAACUCUCACCUAUUCCGGCGCUCUCCUCCAAGAGACCAACUGUUAUAUAGACUUAAACAGU